ensembl:lncRNA
AGCGCGCCCCGUCCUUCCGCGGGUCCCGCCGGCAGCGCUGCUGAAAGCCCCCGGUCCCGCUUCACGGAUGGUUAGAGGAAGAGCUCGGCAGCGGUUUCCUACCGUCGAGCGUUACAGAAUUGCAUGGGUUGGAGGAGACCUCUGGAGAUGAUCAAGUCCAAACCCCUGCUAAAGCAGGUACCCUACAGCAGAUCACACAGGUAGGCAUCCAGUCAGGUCUUGAAUAUCUCCAGAGGAGACUCAGCAGCCUCUCUGGGCAGCCUGUUCCAGUGCUCCGUCACUCUCACAGUAAAGAGGUUCUUCCUUGUGUUCAGAUGGAAAUUACUGUGUUCUAGUUUGUGCCUGUUACUCUGUUGUUCUGUUGCUGCAUGUCAUUGAAAGGAGCCUGACCCCAUGGACUUGACUCCCACACUUCAGAUAUUUAUGAACAGCGAUGGGAUUUCUUCUCAGCCUUCUCUUCUCCAUGCUGAACAGCCUUCUCUCAUAAAGGAGGUGCUCCAGGACCCUCAUCAUCUCUGUGGCCUUCCGCUGGACUCUCUCUAGAAGUUCCCUGUCUUUUUUGAACAGAGGAGCUCAGAACUGGACAUAGUACUCUGGAUGUGGCCUCACCAGAGCAGAGUUGAGGGGGAAGAUCACCUCCCUUGACCUGCUGGCCACAUUCUUUUCAAUGCACUCCAGGAUACCAUUGCCCUGCUUGGCCACCCAGGCGCACUGCUGGCUCAUGGCCAACCUGUUGUCCACCAGGACCAUUAAGUUCUCCUCAGAGCUCCUCUCCAGCAGGAUUGCCAGCAAGCUGCUGAGGUGUGCAGAGGGAGAGGUAGCACUGGACCUGCUGUCUGCCCUGGCAGGAGUGACUCCUCAACUUCUCUGGGCAGCUUGUUCUGUGG